ACGAACGCUGGCGGCGUGCUUAACACAUGCAAGUCGAACGAAGAUGCCGAGGGAGCUUGCUCCCAUGGCAGACUGAGUGGCGGACGGGUGAGUAACGCGUGAGUAACCUGCCUUCAAGAGGGGGACAACUUAGGGAAACUUAAGCUAAUACCGCAUGACGUUAAUUUAUCGCAUGAUAGAUUAAUCAAAGAUUUAUCGCUUGAAGAUGGACUCGCGUCCGAUUAGGUAGUUGGUGAGGCAAGGGCUCACCAAGCCGACGAUCGGUAGCCGGACUGAGAGGUCGAACGGCCACAUUGGGACUGAGACGCGGCCCAGACUCCUACGGGAGGCAGCAGUGGGGAAUAUUGCGCAAUGGGGGGAACCCUGACGCAGCAACGCCGCGUGAAGGAAGAAGGCUUUCGGAUUGUAAACUUCAGCAAACAGGGAAGAGAAGGACUGUACCUGAUUGAAAGCCACGGCUAACUACGUGCCAGCAGCCGCGGUAAUACGUAGGUGGCAAGCGUUGUCCGGAUUUACUGGGUGUAAAGGGCGUGUAGACGGUUAGAUAAGUCAGUGGUGAAAUACCCGGGCUCAACCCGGGAACUGCCAUUGAAACUGUAUAACUUGAGUGCAGGAGAGGAAAGCGGAAUUCCUAGUGUAGCGGUGAAAUGCGUAGAUAUUAGGAGGAACACCAGUGGCGAAGGCGGCUUUCUGGACUGUAACUGACGUUGAGGCGCGAAAGCGGGGGGAGCAAACAGGAUUAGAUACCCUGGUAGUCCACGCUGUAAACGAUGGAUACUAGGUGUCGGGGGUAUCGAGCCCCUCGGUGCCGGAGUAAACACAAUAAGUAUCCCACCUGGGGAGUACGACCGCAAGGUUGCAACUCAAAGGAAUUGACGG
rnacentral:rRNA from 1 species